ACAGUUGAAUCUUGACGAGUACAGCUUUUCUUUGAACACUUUGGAAGAGGUUUUCCUAGAACUUUGCAAAGAGCAAGAGCGAGAUUAUUUUGAUUUGCCUCCGAAUACAACUUUUGAUUGGAAGAAACUUCAAGAAGGUGAUCUCUAAGUCGUCAACACAUU